rnacentral:rRNA from 1 species
UAGGGAAUAUUGGUUAAUGGGCGAAAGCCUGAACCAGCAACGCCGCGUGCACGAUGACGGCCUUCGGGUUGUAAAGUGCUUUUUGGAGGGAAGAGGAAGGACGGUACCUCCAGAAUAAGUCUCGGCUAACUACGUGCCAGCAGCCGCGGUAACACGUAGGAGACAAGCGUAUUUCGGAUUUACGUGGCGUACAGCGCGUGCAGGCGGUCUGACAAGUUGGAUGUGAAAGCUACUGGCUUAACUGGGAGAGGUCGUUCAAAACUAUCAGACUAGAGAGUGGUAGAGGAAGGCGGAAUUCCGGGUGUAGUGGUGAAAUGCGUAGAUAUCCGGAGGAACACCAGUGGCGAAAGCGGCCUUCUGGACCAAUUCUGACGCUCAGACGCGAAAGCUAGGGUAGCGAACG